AUGUGACUGCAGGACAUGUGAUCAUCGACCUUUUGAACGCAUAAUGCAGGACAGCAGUUCUACUGUCUGUCCUAUGUUUUGCUCAGGGUCGUUUAACAUCCAUCUAUUCAAUUUAUUGAAUAGCAUUGAGGUUUUGCAAUUGCUUGCCACUUGCAUGCCUUUAAGUUGCAACUGCCUGUUAAACCAGAGGCUCUAGUGACUCUUGGGAUUCGUCCUGGGUUGCUUUGCUGAUGGUUGGGUAGAGGUGAGCUCUUUCUCUUGAGAGCUUACCAGCCACUUUAAACU
rnacentral:misc_RNA from 1 species